rnacentral:rRNA from 1 species
UAGAACCGAUAACCCCCGUUUAACCUCACCCUUCCUUGUUAAUCCCGCCUAUAUACCGCCGUCGUCAGCUUACCCUGUGAAGGUCUAAUAGUAAGCAGAAUUGGCACAACGCAAAACGUCAGGUCGAGGUGUAGCGGAUGGAGGGGGAAGAAAUGGGCUACCACAAACGAUGCACUGAAAUGUACAUCCGAAGGAGGAUUUAGCAGUAAGCAGGAAAUAGAGUGUCCUGCUGAAAGGCCCUGAAGCGCGCACACACCGCCCGUCACUCUCCCCGAACCUAAAAUAAAACCCUAGGGAUAAAGGGGAGGCAAGUCGUAACAUGGUAAGUGUACCGGAAGGGGCACUUGGAAAAAU